rfam:Strigamia maritima strain Brora ctg7180001229792, whole genome shotgun sequence.
GUCAGGAUGGCCGAGUGGUCUAAGGCGCCAGACUUAAGCCUAGUUGUUGGUUAUCUGGUCCGCAAAUGCGGGCGUGGGUUCGAACCCCACUUCUGACA